AACGAACGCUGGCGGCGUGGAUAAGACAUGCAAGUCGAGCGCUGAUUACAGUGUAGCAAUACAUUGUGAUUGGAGCGGCGCAAGGGUGCGUAACACGUGGGUAAUUUACCAUAAAGUUGGGGAUAACUCGCUGAAAGGCGAGCUAAUACCGAAUGUGAUAAUCUGGAGGCAUCUCUGGAUUAUUGAAGUUGGGGAUCGUAAGACCUGACGCUUUANGAUAAGCCCGCGGCCUAUCAGCUAGUUGGUGAGGUAACGGCUCA
rnacentral:rRNA from 1 species